rnacentral:sRNA from 1 species
CGACUUGCAGCAUCUGCGGGCCGACGAAAUGGACAUGCGUGUCCACUGCGCCCGCCGUGGCGAUCAGACCGUUGCCCGCCAUGAUCUCGGUCGAGGGGCCGAUGACCAGCGCCGGGUCGAUCCCGUCCAUCGUGUCCGGAUUGCCCGAUUUGCCGAUGCCGACGAUGCGCCCGUCGCGGAUGCCGAUGUCGGCCUUGAUGACGCCCCAGUGAUCCAGGAUCACCGCGCCGGUGAUGACGAGGUCGGGCGUGCCGUCGGCACGGGUAUGCGAGGACUGUCCCAUGGAUUCG